rnacentral:lncRNA from 1 species
CAGUGGGUUGCACUUUGGCAAAAUCGAUAGGAUUAUAUUGUAGAUGAUCCAGUAGCCGACGGUAUGAUGGACUAUUAUAAUGACUACAUGGAGUGGUAUCGUCGCAUUAUGCGUCGAUUCAUUUGUCGUAGUGGAGCGAUGAUUGACUAUCUAGUAAGAUUUCAUAUUUUACUUUUUAUUUUCUAUAAUUAACAUAAGUUUAUUUGCCUCUUGCUCAUCUUUUGUUUGUGUCAGAGUAACAGUCUGACGAGGAUUCAUCGUUUGGCUCGUCUAGACUUAUUAUCCACAUUCGAACAACUCAUCCAAGAAUUUAUACUUCAGGUCUCCACACCGUCCGACAGCAUGCUCAUAUCUCCAUCGAUAUCUACGAUCAUUGCC